AUACCCUAUUAUUUUUAAUGUAAUUUUUAGCCAUAGUAGUAUUAGUUAUGAUCUUGAAACUUAAAGAAUUUGGCGGUAUUUUAGUCUUUUCAGGGGAAUUUGUUAAUUAAUCGAUAAUCCUCGUUUAAUCUUACUUAUUUUUAUUUUUGUAUAUCGCUGUUUUUGAAAAUAUUUUUAGAUUAUUUUCUUGAUUAAUAAUUAUUUAAUAUUUCAAGUCAAGGUGCAGUUAUUUAUAAGUUUAUUAAUGAAUUACAAUAAAAAUAAUUUAUUAUGGAUAAUUAUUUAAAAUUAAUUUGAAGGUGGACUUGAAUGUAAUUUUAUGUAGAUUAUUAAAAUGAUUUUUGAGCUCUAAGAUAUGUACACAUCGC
rnacentral:rRNA from 1 species